UACAGAGACUGCAAGCGUUAUUCGGAUUCACUGGGCGUAAAGGGUGCGCAGGCGGCCAAGUGUGUUAGGCGUGAAAGCCCGGGGCUUAACCCCGGUAUUGCACCUAAAACUACAUGGCUAGAGCAUUGGAGAGGGUAGCGGAAUUCACGGUGUAGCAGUGAAAUGCGUAGAUAUCGGGAGGAACAUCAGUGGCGAAGGCGGCUACCUGGCCCAAUACUGACACUCAGGUGCGACAGCGUGGGGAGCAAACAGG
rnacentral:rRNA from 1 species